AAUGAUUUAUUAACUUUGGGUGAUAAGGAUGCUCCUGAAAAAUAAGAGGGGGGAGAAGGGUGGGAAUGAGGCAGAGCUGAGAAUGUUUUUUUUUUUUUCUCUAGGUGAUGGCAAUCCCCUGAAAAAGAAGGAGGUGCAGGAGGAGGAGGAGGUGGGGGAGGGGAAGCUAGGGAUGAAAAGGCAGAAGGAGAUGACCCAUGAGGAGUAGGGGUUGGAGA
rnacentral:misc_RNA from 1 species